AUUGAACGCUGGCGGCAUGCUUUACACAUGCAAGUCGGACGAGUGGCGAACGGGUGCGUAACGCAUCGGAACGUACCGAGUAAUUGGGGAUAACUGUCCGAAAGGACAGCUAAUACCGCAUAUUAUUCGAGCGGCCGAUGUCUGAUUAGCUGGUUGGCGGGGUAAAGGCCCACCAAGGCGACGAUCAGUAGCGGGUCUGAGAGGAUGAUCCGCCAACCUGGGACUGAGAAAGGGCCCAGAGUCCAACGGGAGGCAGAAGGGGGGAAUAUGGCGCAAGGGGGGCAACCCUGAGGCAGCCAUGCCGGGUGAAUGAAGAAGGCCUUCGGGUUGUAAAGUUCUUUCGGUGACGAGGCGUUAAUCACAGAAGAAGCACCGGCUAACUCCGUGCCAGCAGCCGCGGUAAUU
rnacentral:rRNA from 1 species